AACGAACGCUGGCGGCAUGCCUAACACAUGCAAGUCGAACGAGACCUUCGGGUCUAGUGGCGCACGGGUGCGUAACGCGUGGGAACCUGCCCUUAGGUUCGGAAUAACUCCCCGAAAGGGGUGCUAAUACCGGAUAAUGUCUUCGGACCAAAGAUUUAUCGCCUUUGGAUGGGCCCGCGUGGGAUUAGCUAGUUGGUAGGGUAAAAGCCUACCAAGGCGACAAUCCAUAGCUGGUCUGAGAGGAUGAUCAGCCACACUGGGACUGAGACACGGCCCAGACUCCUCCGCGAGGCAGCAGUGGGGAAUAUUGGACAAUGGGCGGAAGCCUGAUCCAGCACUGCCGCGUGAGUGAUGAAAGCCUUAAGGUUGUAAAGCUCUUUUACCCGGGAUGAUAAUGACAGUACCGGGAGAAUAAGCCCCGGCUAACUACGUG
rnacentral:rRNA from 1 species